GCCCCCUGCCACAUGUGGGUCUCUCUGGGCUACCAAAGGUUCUGCAGCCUCAUGGUCAGGGUUUCAGGGUUUUGGGAAUGUGCUGGGGACUGUGCAGGUGCUGGGGAGGGCAGGCAGGAAGCAUGGGCAGCCCCUGCUGGCAUUCUCUCCCCAUCCCUGCUCCUUCCAGCCCUGGCCCAGUGGUCCCUGCCCCAGCAGUUUUGUGCCUCCCAUCUUGUCUGAACAUCUCAAAAGCAAGAAGAGGAUUCAUAAUUUUUCCUCUUACAUCUGGAAAGGGAGGAACCCCACAAGACUGUGAUUUAGAUCAGUCCCUGGAGCAAGAAAGCUGAGCAGAAGCAACAAAUCAGCAUUCCUGAAACCUCUCCUGGUACCUGAGGUACCUUAGCUCUGGAGCAGAGGAACGUUCUGACAAGUACUGAACCCUGAGCAGAGCUCCCUGUAUCCAGGAGAAACACAGGAAUUUCAAAAUAUAGCCAAGCUUCAUUUUGCUGGGCUGGCUCCCUGCAGAUGCCCACCCAUCACUGCUCGCCUGGUCUCUGCUGGAGGAGAGGUUCCAGUAGCCAAGGGCCAAGUGAUGCUGGUGGCUGGAGACCAUGGAAACUGACAAGAGGAAGACACACACCUUCAGGCUGCUUGGAAGGGAAUCUGGAUGUAAAAUAACUAAGAUUGCCCCUGAAGCCCCUUUCAGAAAGGACACCCUACUGGCUGUUUUCUGUUCCCUUGGUGGUAAGGUAGUUUAGCUUAUAAUUUAAAAGCACAAUAAUCAGUACUUUUGUGUUUGAGCUCUUUAGACCUCCUGGGAAAGUGCCAUUUGGAUUAUGCUCUCCAGAUUUUUUUGCUGUAAUUUCAUAACCUCUAUUGACUGAAUGAGUUGAAAAUUAAGUUAUAAAUGCUUCGGCACAAGCGACUGUCAGAACUGCCCCUCCUUUCUUUUCCUGGUUGAUUGUGCUUCUGCUUCUAUGCAUUUGCAAACCCAGAGAUGGAUUUUUGGGACCCUGCUGGGACCCUGCAGCACCUGCUGCAGCUCAGCUUUGCUGAGGCCCCCGCCCCCAAUGCCCCUCGCGAGCAGCCGCUGGCGCCUGUGGCUGUUCUGCUAAUCAGGAAUCUGGCAGAGCCUCAGCACCCUCUGUCCUCUGGCCGAGCUGCUCCACAGUCCUGGCUGCCCUGGGCUGUGUGGCAGAGCUGCACCCCUGGCUGGGGCACCCAUGGCCAGGGGUCGCUGCCAGGGGUAACGCAGGAACCUACCUGUCACCAAUGCUGGUGGUGGCUGAACCAUUCCUCCCAAAUGCAGAAACUGGGUAAACAUGUAGAUCCUGGGGGAUCCUUCCCAAGAUCCUUGAGGGACCCUUCCAGCUGAGUGAGUGAGCUUUCACCAGAGCUCCACAGCUCAGAGGCUUUCUGAGCUGACACAUCCCUACAGCUACACACAGACAUUUGCCACACAGUGAGGUCCCUGAAUCAGGGCUGUGGUGGGUGACUUGUCCCCAGAUAGAACUCAGCAGGAUGCUGCAGCUGCCAUCAGCCUCUGCACAACUGUUCCUUGCUGCCUUUGUCACAUCUCUUCCUUUGGUCAGAGCGGCACAACGGACAGAGUUUUGAAGUAAAUGUAUAUUGUACCACUACUUUUCAAGUCAUAUCUUCAUUCUUCCCUUCCUUUGGCGUGUGAGUCAUCCCAGCAAACCUGUCAUGCCUUAAAUUAAUUGGGCCUUGGAAGGGGACAGAGAUAAUGAGCCAUUCCUGGAUGCCAUUUCUUAAAAGCCAGGGAAUGUACAGCACAAGGUAAGGUGCUGCCUGAGUCUUCCUCACCUUGUCAAAUGAAUCCACAUCUCUCCUGAGCUUGUGAUGGGGUCUGUGGGGUGUCCAUUGGCUGCUGGCCUCCAGUCCAGACACCUCUGAAGAGAAGCUGCUCUUACAAAGUCCUACUUCCAGAGCUCCAGUUUUCUGGCCUCAAACCAGCGAUGUGCUCACAGAAGGGCUGAGUUUGGACACUGUGAGAGGUGGACAAGCUUUGAGCUGUUCAUCAAAGGCGAGAGGGCUCCUUGUGAGCUCAGUGCAGUGGGGGUGUGAGUGUGGGUUGUGCGUGGUCCCACCUGGACAUGGGGGUGUCCCUGCUCACUAGCCUGUACCUGUGCAGGAGGACUCAAAGAAGCUCUGGCUGGUGCCCCCGAAGAGUGAGCUGCAAGCAGGGAUGAGGGAAUGAAUGUCCCCCAUCCCUGAGGGACAUGAGUGUCCAUGCAUACCACACACAGAAAGUGACUUGCCCCUUCCACUCUUUGCCAAGUCCCUUUCAUUAGCACAGAGUUUUCUGGUAAGAAAAACAGGAUUUUUUUGUUUUGUUUUGUUUGUUUGUUUUUCUGUCUUGAUUACCAUGCAGAGGGGGAGAAGAACCAAAGAAGAACCUCCAAAAAGAAAAUACACCAUAAGGAAUGUUCAAGGCUCAGAGGCUUCUGAAGCUGAUAGUUCACUCCAUCAAAGGACAAUGCACAUUGAUGGGUUGAAUUCCCACACGGAUGGGCUGCACCAACCCAAAGGCCAGGCUUUGAUGGCCUAAGCCAUGGCCAGGCUGGAGCACUCAGAGCUGGUAGGACAGCACAGGUAGGAGCUGCCUAUUACUGUUACCUGUUAGGGUUUUGCAUCCCAUUGAAAAUCAGGGAACCAGCAAUCAGACAGGAAUUGGGUGUGCUGUCAGUCAUUCUGUAUGACUUUUUUCCAAGGAGAAACAAAAAAAAGCGCCUGAAGAUCCAGCCCCAGUGGGCCACUAGACAAAGCCCAUCAGAGUGGGGAGGGGCCACAGUUACAAUGGUAGAUUGUAAUAGAUAGUUACAAUCGUUGUUCUGUCACUCAAAUCUUACAGCUGAACCUUGAGGACUAUCAAAUCCAUUAUAAAGUUUUUCUUUUCCAACUACCUUGAAACUGCAUUAUUAGUAGCUAUUAUGUACUUGUAAUUUGUAUUUUGAAUAAUAAAGUCUAAAUUGUAACUGUUCACAGGAUAUCAAAUACAAUUGUUAUGGCA